AGGAGGGAGCACUGCAGGAGGAGCAAGUUCCGGUUGAGAAUGGAGGCUCAGAAGUCCAGAGGUGCAAUUUGGUGGACGAUGGAGGUAAGAGGAGAAAAAAAAAAAAACAAGAUGAAAAGAAUUAGAAGCAACCUUUUUGAGGAAUUUUUCUGAAAAGGGAAGGACAAAAAUGGUAGGUCAUCUAGACGAGGAAUUGAGACUAAGAACACUGUGCUUUGUUUUGUUUUGUUUUGUUGUUUUGUUUUGUGGUGAGAGAACAUUUACAUGGCACGGGGAAAGACCGGCGGUGCAGGCGAGCGAGGGUGGCCUGCAGCACUGUCCCUGACUGAGUGGGUGGGUAUCAUGUGCAAGUGCAGGUGUCAGCCUUUGCAGAGCCAUGCAGAGUUCAUAUAAAUGAACAAGAAGGAAGGCAGAGUCUGUGCACACAAAUGCUGGUAAGUAGGUAGCUAAUUUGGGGCAGUUACAUUCCAAUGGUUUCUGUGUUCUCAGUAUAUAGGACGCAAGGUCACAUAACAAUGAAGCUGGGAAACUUUGACAAGGUGUGCGAUAGCCCUCCUCCAGCACAGUGAGGAAUAAAGAACCAAGGGAAAGGCAUAAUACAGUUGCUGAGGAGCUUUAAGGGUUCACUAGAGAUGAAUGAUCAAGAAUGAGGCCAGCUUGGCUGUGUGCCUUUCUCCGGCUGUGUUCAGCUACGCAAACGGGGUAGGGGAAAGUCCAAUCUCACAAAGGUUGUAGUUUAGCCAAGUUAGUGUAACAAAGUACGAGGGACACAGGUUCAAGGGUAUUUUCAAGAGGGUGGUUAAAAUGUUCGACCACAGAGUUGACCUAGGUUAGGAGGGAAGUAACAUGGAAAGAGUGACUGAAAGUGAAAAUAUACAGUAGCAGCAUCAGUGGCUUUGGGGUUCCAGUGGAGGUGAGGAUUGUUAGCAUUUACAGAGUGCAUGCGGCACUAACAAAGAGCUUGAGCUACACAAAUCUAAGCCUUGAUGAUAUCUAACGAUGUCUAAAAUUAAGGGGCUCGCCAACAUGAGAUCACCCACCAAAAAUAAAUAAUCAGCUUUUUUCCAGGCCCUCUCAACCACUGACCCGCUGCACAGAGGGACCUCCUUAUGUGGCCUGAUUAAAUCCUGUUCUUGAAUUCCAGUUUUCAUGCACUUCCUGCCAUUUUCUGCAAGCAGCAAAGCCAAGAUUCCAGUGGGCUCUCUGACAUGGCAGAAUGCCAGGUCAACCAAAGAAUCUGUACUUUCUACAGCCUCGGUGGAGAAUUGAGCAUCAGAGCUCUGGCAGUCUGUUGUGUUAAUCAGUUUGCAAGGUGAGGCCACAUGUGCUCCUAAAGCAGCUCAUUAAAGCUGCUCCUCUUUCCUGAUUCCCACUCUCACCCUGGGUGUGGAAUGGAACAAUAAAUCUGAACUGCCUCUUGCCAGGCUUUUUAAAUAGGAACAAAAAGAAUCUAGCACCUGGGACAUGUACAAGAAAGGAACAAAGUACUCCAAGUCGAACAUCACAGGAAAAGCAAUCUGAGCAAGUUGCCAGAGCCUGAUUUUUUCCAGCCAGUAACUAACAAAUGUACUCACUAGCAUCUUUAUAUUAUUGACUGACAUGACAACACACCACAAUCAAAGAGCUCUUUGCAGCUAUAUGCUGAGUACCAAAGAGCAUAUGCACAAUUCAUGCUGAGACCCUCCUUUCUCUUUCUCUCUCUGCCUCAGAAAACCCAGUUUCUUUUAGUCUCUAAAUUUAUGACCCCGUAGCCCAGGAUUUCCAGCUUCUCUAGUACAGAAGUCUCCUAUCAGCAUCUUAGAAUAUUACAGCUGUUUCUUGAUUGGGUACUAUGGACCUGAAAGAGAAGAAAAGUCAAUUAAUAGUCUUCCAAAAAAAAAACACAACAACUUCUUUUUAAGGAUCUCUCAGCAGUAAAUAUAGAACCAGCUAUCCAGAGGUUCUGAAAAAUAUCAGUUCAUUUCCUUAAUUAUAAUGAAUAAAAUGAGCAAGGAAGGUGUUUUGGUUUCUUGAACUUAAAGAAAAAACAGAGAUCAUUUAUAAUUUUAAAACAAGUGUCAAAUACUGCUUCUUUUUCACUUUUUGAGUUAAGGCCUACAGAACUUACAGUAUAAUUGUCACCCUUCCCAAAUGCCAAGUCUUAUACAUUGUUGAACUUAGAUUAUUAGGUAAAGAUUUGUCAUCAGAGAAUGAACUGAAAUCAGAAUGCCUUGCUCCUAUAAGUUAAAAAAAAACAAACCUUUAAUGAUUCUUUUUAGUGUGGGGUUGAGUAAUAUUUAAAGCACUAAACUGUGUCUCUAGUAUUUGAGGGGAUAAGGUUUAGAGUUCAUUGUGUUGACUGUCUUUUCAAAGAUUAGAUAGUUUAGUUAGGCUCCUACUGGCCGUGCAAAUGUCUCAGUGUUUAUUGACUGUCUGCAGUCAUUAUCAAAGACUCUGAACACAAUCGACACCUUGUAAACAGAAAUCCCAUUAUUUUUGUGGUACUGAUAAGAUUUACUAAGAAUUUAAUUUUUUUAUGAUUGAUUGCCCAGUUAAAGGUAUUAAUUCAGUACAGAAGAGUAUAAAUGAGUAUGAAUUCAGUCAGCGAACCUGCCCUUUUAUUUUUUUAAUUAUAAUUUCUUUUUGCUUAUAGUGGUGGAAAUAAUUAUCUGAACAAUGUAAAAGGUCAAACAAGGUACAAAUAUGACUUAAGUACAUUUUAAUAUGUUAUAUACAUUUCUAUUGAUACUUCAGUAAUCUACAAAGGAAUUUAUGUUUUCUUGGAAAGAUGCUUUAAGUCAUUCAGUAUACAGAAAAAUUAUAUAGUGUGCUAAUUUAGUUUGGAAAUAUUAAAAAGACUUAUUUGCUGGAUGUUUUGUGAAUAAAUUUUAUUUUAUUUUAUUUUAUUCUUUUGCAGUGCUAAGGAUCAAACCCAGGGCUUCAUUCAUACUAAGCAAGUGCUCUGCAAUACAUCCCAGUUCAUAGGCCUGCAUUUUAAGAUGCUUUAAUGAAAAUAAAAUUCCUACAGUUAGACAGUAGCAUCCAUUGAACAUCUGCCACACCUCUGUAUCACACUGUUCUAGACCUCUGAGAAAUAUAUGGAUAAAACACAGUCCUUCGCUACACUAAGCCUGAUACAAAAACAGAAGUCCAGUGUUCUGAGAACAUUUUGUAUGUAAGUUGGGUCCAGCAGAGGAAACCAGAGAUCCACUGGGCUGUGAGAGAAGGAAGAUAAAGAAUGAGCACAUCAGAAGGAAACUAAAGCACAAUGUCAAAAGCAGGCCGAACGAGAGGAAGGGCUUUCUCACUUUAUAAGAGGAGCUAAAGAAAGGGAGAAGAAAAGGCAAAAGCAUCUGGGUUUGCUUAUUUGACCCAAAUGCCACCUAGAGGCUUCUUCUUUUUUCAUUGGUUUAUAGUUAAGAUGGUGCUACACUGAAUCUACCAAUUUAUGAAACUUAGGGUGAAUUUUUAAAGUUGAUGUCCAUUUCAAGUACAUAUAUACUUGAAAUUAAUAUUAGUACUAGUAGUUGAAAUACUAAUACCAAUACUAUGACUAGUGUUAUUGAUGUUAUCAGUAUUAAUCAUUUCUCCCUUCUUCAAAGGUCUCCAAGAACCUAUAAUUUUUUCUUUUAGAACUUUCAGUAAAAUGGAUCCUUCAUGAAAAUGCAGUUCAUCCUUUGGCUGCAGUGCUUUGACACACUACAGAAACUGUAAAGGUUUCCCUUCCUUCAUCUCCCAGGCGCAAGCCAAACUACCCCUAGUUGGAGAGGCAAGUUAGGGAACGAGGAACAAGAUAUAACGGCUUCACAUCUGUCACCAUAAGUCCCACUUACCACUAACAUAGUUUGUAGAAGUUAAUUCAGAAAUUAUGACUAGGCAAUAGAAAAUAGACAUCACAGACAUGGGAAUACUAAAGUUAAAUGAAACCAGAAACCCAAAAAUUAAAAGGAGAAGUAGGGACAUAGCUAAUAUUAAAUAAUAAAACAAGUUAACAUUGAAAAAGUA